CCCCCCAGAAAAUCAAAUGGUUGCUGCCUUACUUAAACAAAAUGCCAAAUUUCUUUUAAACCUAAAUAUUCAUUUGUUAUAAUUGAAUCAAACAGUUAAAAAAUUGUCAAUUAAUAAUUUCGAAUAGAUUUUAUAAAUUAACUUAAUUAUACUUACAGAAAUAGAAUACAGCAUGUAAAACGUACCAAAUCAAAAUGAUAUUUAGAAAUAACAUAUCGUUCAAUUCAUUCAAUAAAUCCAUACAGUAAUCUAUAUAUCUUUUGUCACCUAAAUAUUUUCUUAAGUUCAGGACUUCCAAAUGUAUAUUUAUAGUUUUGAACAUUCAUAUAGAAUUGAUCCCAUCUGUACAUUGUUAAAUACCAUUGUAUCGACAAUUAAGUCAUUGCACAAAAUAGGAUCCACGUCAUUCCGUAUACAAAAUAGAUAAACUUUAUAAUUACUAAGGGCUUCUGCUUGGAUUUUAAGGAUUAAUAUUCAGAGAGAUAAACAGUACCAAUAUAUCAUACAGAGUAAUCAGCAAGGACCGAUAACUCUGCAUGGGAGAUUGAAACUGUACAGCUACAUUCAUUUAACAGAUGUAUCGAAACGUACAAAAGAUAAGCAAUAAGCGAAGACGAAUUGAAACUCUUUGAUUUGAAAAUUGACAAUUUUUCAGCGAG
rnacentral:lncRNA from 1 species